UGAUCCUGCCGGACCUGACUGCUAUCUGAUUGGUACUAAGCCAUGCGAGUCGUUGUACAAUACAUGGCGGACUGCUCAGUAACACAUAGUUAACUUAACCUAUGGAUGGGCAUAACCUCGGGAAACUGAGAAUAAUACCCAAUGGACCACAGUGCCUGGAAUGGCCUGUGGUUGAAAUGAUUUAUCGCCGUAGGAUAGGACUGCGGCCUAUCAGCUUGUUGGUGAGGUAAUGGCCCACCAAGGCUAUAACAGGUACGGGCUCUGAGAGGAGGGGCCCGGAGAUGGGUACUGAGACACGGACCCAGGCCCUAUGGGGCGCAGCAGGCGAGAAACCUUUGCAAUGUGCGAAAGCACGACAAGGUUAAUCCGAGUGUCUCCUGCUAAAGGAGUCUUUUGUCAGUUGUAGAAUCACUGGUGAAUAAGGGGUGGGCAAGUUCUGGUGUCAGCCGACGCGGUAAAACCAGCACCUCGAGUGGUCAGGAGGUUUAUUGGGCCUAAAGCAUCCGUAGCCGGUUGCAUAAGUUAUCGGUUAACUCUAUGCGCUUAACGUAUAGGGCGGCGAAAAUACUUGUGCAGCUAAGGAGUGGGACACGUACACGGGUACUCGAUAUGAACGGGUUAAAUCCUUUGAAC
rnacentral:rRNA from 1 species